CCUACGGGUGGCAGCAGUGGGGAAUAUUGCACAAUGGGCGAAAGUCUGAUGCAGCAACGCCGCGUGAAGGAAGAAGGGUUUCGGCUCGUAAACUUCUAUCAACAGGGACGAAAGCAAUGACGGUACCUGAAUAAGAAGCCACGGCUAACUACGUGCCAGCAGCCGCGGUAAUACGUAGGGGGCAAGCGUUAUCCGGAAUUACUGGGUGUAAAGGGUGCGUAGGGGGCAUGGUAAGCCAGCUGUGAAAGCCUGGGGCUUAACCCGGGGAUUGCAUUUGGAACUAUCAAGCUAGAGUACAGGAGAGGAAAGCGGAAUUCCUAGUGUAGCGGUGAAAUGCGUAGAUAUUAGGAAGAACACCAGGGGCGAAGGCGACUUUCUGGACUGAAACUGACGCUGAGGCACGAAAGCGUGGGGAGCAAACAGGAUUAGAUACCCGUGUAGUC
rnacentral:rRNA from 1 species